rnacentral:rRNA from 1 species
AUUGAACGCUGGCGGCAUGCCUUACACAUGCAAGUCGAACGGUAACAGGUCUUCGGACGCUGACGAGUGGCGAACGGGUGAGUAAUACAUCGGAACGUGCCCAGUCGUGGGGGAUAACUACUCGAAAGAGUGGCUAAUACCGCAUACGAUCUGAGGAUGAAAGCGGGGGACCUUCGGGCCUCGCGCGAUUGGAGCGGCCGAUGGCAGAUUAGGUAGUUGGUGGGAUAAAAGCUUACCAAGCUGACGAUCUGUAGCUGGUCUGAGAGGACGACCAGCCACACUGGGACUGAGACACGGCCCAGACUCCUACGGGAGGCAGCAGUGGGGAAUUUUGGACAAUGGGCGAAAGCCUGAUCCAGCAAUGCCGCGUGCAGGAUGAAGGCCUUCGGGUUGUAAACUGCUUUUGUACGGAACGAAAAAGCUUCCCCUAAUACGGGAGGCCCAUGACGGUACCGUAAGAAUAAGCACCGGCUAACUACGUGCCAGCCGCCGCGGUAAUAC